rnacentral:rRNA from 1 species
AGAGUUUGAUUAUGGCUCAGAACGAACGCUGGUGGCGUGUCUUAUACAUGCAAGUCGAGCGAGGCAGCAAUGCCGAGCGGCGAACGGGUGAGUAACGCGUAAGCAAUCUGCCCCAUAUCAGGAAAUACCCGUGCCAACGCGCGGUUAAUGUCCAGGAGAGUGGCCCUCUGCAUGGAGGGUUGACUAGAGAUUUAUCGGUAUGGGAUGAGCUUGCGUCCGAUUAGCUAGUUGGCGGGGCAACGGCCCACCAAGGCGACGAUCGGUAGCUGGCCUGAGAGGGUGAUCGGCCACAUUGGGACUGAGAUACGGCCCAGACUCCUACGGGAGGCAGCAGUAGGGAAUAUUGCACAAUGGGGGAAACCCUGAUGCAGCAACGCCAACGUGUGGGAAGAAGCAUUUCGGUGUGUAAACCACUGUCAUGAGGAAUAAGGCCGCCUCGGCGGACUUGAUGUACCUUGAGAGGAAGCACCGGCAAACUUCGUGCCAGCCGCCGC